UCCCCCAAAUUUCUCAUUAUCCCCUAAUCUUCCGUCUGCCGCUGGUAAUCUGAAAAGCUCUAACUUGUUCGACAUCGUCUCUUCCGUCUGCGUGGUGUUCAUCAUCGCUCGCAAGCCGCCGCCGCCUCUUCUGUCUGCGUGUCGUUUCGUCGUUGCUCGUGGUUGCUCGUGUUCAUCGUCGCUCGUUGCUCGUGGGUGUGCGUUCUGUUCGUGUCGCUCGCAAGCCGCCGCCGCGCAUUCUGUUCGUGACCCACGGCCUUUGGAUGGCGACCCACGGUCUUCCGACGGUGACCGUUGAUGUUAGUGUACGAAAGAUUCAGUCGCCGUACUAGGAUGACUGGAGAGCGGGUGGUAGAGUUUUGGCAAAUUUUUCACAUGGAAUGGCAGAUCCUUUUAGCUAUGGAAAUACCGACCGUGAUAUCUUGAUGUUCUUGGUCAAAAUCAAAUCGUGGAAGAGAAAGAAAUUGCAUUGAAGAAGGGUGCUCAACUACUAAAAUAUGGUCGUAAAGGAAAGUCGAAGUUCUGUCCAUUUAGGCUUUCUAGUGUGAGUUUAGUUCCAAUAAUGAUUUUAUAGUUAGUCUUAUAAGAUUUUUAUAUCCCUUAGACAUUUAUCUUUUAUGUUCUGAAAGUUACCAAGCUAGCUUAUUAUUAUUGAUGAAAAAUUGGUGGUAUACAUACUGAUCUCUCUUUGCGGUCCUUUUGCAUUGGUGCUUUAGUGACUUAUUCAGUUGCUAAAAGUUUAUAAUUUUCUUGCAAGAAACUAGGGAUAAUUUUUGUGAUCUAAACACUAGGACAGUGUUGAACAUGGUUUUCUUCAUUUUAAUGUUUCGCAGACAAUGAUAAUUCACGGAUUAGUUGAGAAAGUAAGCUUGAUCAGAAUGCGAUGUAGGGAAAUUUUAGUACUUUUUGAGUGAUAUGCAUAGCAUUCUUCAUUUCACGAGUUUAAGAAUCUGUAACUCAAAUUUCUCUAUCUGUUUCAAUCAUUGUUUUCACUCCUUAUAAAAUGAAAUGUUAUUCGAUUCAGUGGCUUCUUUUUUUCUUUUUAGUAGAAAUUUGAACCUCUAUUAUUUAUUUUGUUGAGGCUAUAUGUAGCUGGAAAAGCCUCCUUAGUUCCUCCGUAAGAAAUUUGGCUGCAACUGUAAUGCAUUUUGAUUAAAUCUUGCAACUUAUUAUGAUAAUUAUUUGUGUGUUUGGUACACAUUAUGUUCUUUGGAUUUUGUGAGGUUGAAGGAGAAAAGAAUCUUAAUGAUCUUUAAUAGACAAGUUUGUAUACGCAUCAGCAUAAAUAAUGUAGGUACCCAUACAAUAACAUUAAAAAAACCUAAAAAAAUCUAUGUGCUUUUGUGGUGUUAUUACCAUUGUGCUGGAAUUACCUUGCAAGGGUAAGGCCAAACAUUAUUAAAAAUAUAUUGUUAUUGGCUCAAUGAACAUCGAUGAAAGGAGUUUUAUUUAUUUGUUUCUAUGGAAUUUUAGAGCCUAGAGCAAUGAAGAGAUCUAAAUUUAAAUUUAUUAAGCAUGUGAAUACAGUUACAGUUUUUCAGUGGCUUGAUAGUAUUUCUUGGCUUAUUCCUAUUGUUUUUUCUCCUUUUCUAAGGAUGAAUCUUCCUUGAUCUGGAUUUCAAGUAAAGGUGAAAGGAGUUUGAAGUUAGCUUUAAUCUAACGAAUUAUACCUGGACAAAGAACUAUUUGCUUAUAAUUUGAUUUUCCUCUUUUUGACGGCUACCCAUGACCUUCAGACGACGAUCCACUACAAUCCGACGACGACCCACUGCUGUUCUACGACGCCCAUGCAAAUUCCGACCCACGGCGCUUUAAUACUUGAGUUAGCAAGUUUGUUUAUGAAGAAAGUUUUUGUUUUCAUGCAUCUAAUACUUUAGUUAGCAAGUUGGUUUAUGAAGAUUGUAGCUUAGACAUGUAUAUUUUCUUUAUAUUAAACAAGAAAAGGUUCAUAUUAUAGCUUAGACAUGUAUAUGGUUCAUUGAUAUACAUAUGCAAUUUCUUUGAUGUAAAGUUUGAGUUUUUUUAA